UACGGAGGUGGCAAGCGUUGUCCGGAUUUACUGGGCGUAAAGAGCGCGCAGGCGGCUGGUCAAGUCCGAUGUGAAAUCUCCCGGCUUAACUGGGAAACUGCAUCGGAAACUGAUCGGCUUGAAGGUGGGAGAGGGUAGUGGAAUUCCCGGUGUAGUGGCGAAAUGCGUAGAUAUCGGGAGGAACACCAGUGGCGAAGGCGACUACCUGGCCCAUUCUUGACGCUGAGGCGCGAAAGCUAGGGGAGCGAACGGG
rnacentral:rRNA from 1 species